rnacentral:misc_RNA from 1 species
UGUCUUCUGCGAGCGGUGC